AUGCUUAACACAUGCAAGUCGAACGGAAACGAUGGUAGCUUGCUACCAGGCGUCGAGCGGCGGACGGGUGAGUAACGCGUGAGAAUCUGCCCAUUUGUGGGGGAUAACUCGGGGAAACUCGAGCUAAUACCGCAUAAUCCCUACGGGGGAAAGCAGGGGACCUUCGGGCCUUGUGCAGAUGGAUGAGCUCGCGUCGGAUUAGCUUGUUGGUGAGGUAAAGGCUCACCAAGGCGACGAUCCGUAGCUGGUCUGAGAGGAUGAUCAGCCACACCGGGACUGAGACACGGCCCGGACUCCUACGGGAGGCAGCAGUGGGGAAUCUUGGACAAUGGGGGCAACCCUGAUCCAGCCAUGCCGCGUGUGUGAAGAAGGCCUUCGGGUUGUAAAGCACUUUCAGUAGGGAGGAAGGCUUACCGCUAAUAACGGUGAGUACUUGACGUUACCUACAGAAGAAGCACCGGCUAAUUUCGUGCCAGCAGCCGCGGUAAUACGAAAGGUGCGAGCGUUAAUCGGAAUUACUGGGCGUAAAGCGCGCGUAGGCGGUUUGUUAAGUCAGAUGUGAAAGCCCCGGGCUCAACCUGGGAAUUGCAUUCGAAACUGGCAGGCUAGAGUGCAGUAGAGGGAGGUGGAAUUUCCGGUGUAGCGGUGAAAUGCGUAGAGAUCGGAAGGAACACCAGUGG
rnacentral:rRNA from 1 species